AGCAAGGAGUCUAUCAGCAGGCUGUAUAUCCUUGUAUCCAGACAGGCAGCACCAGGGAAGACUUUUAGCAGAUGAGAGAAAGAUGUGACUUCCAUCUGAACAGCAUCACUUUGACUGUGAGUGGUGAUUAGAGGGAAGGAAGAAGAUGGAAGUGGGAGACCGUUCGGGAGGCUACUGCAGGAAUCCAGAUGAGCCAUGAUGGUGACUUGCUGAAUAGCAUUCUUUGAACACCACUUCGCAAGAUGUUGCUAAAAGAAGAAAUCAAGAAUUACAAUUUCAUCAUAAUCACUAUCUUCAACAAGUCUUCUAGAUACAUGAG